rnacentral:rRNA from 1 species
AACGAACGCUGGCGGCGUGCUUAACACAUGCAAGUCGAACGGAAAGGCACUGCUUUCGUGGGGUGAUCGAGUGGCGAACGGGUGAGUAAGAGGUAAGUAACCUGCCCUUGACUUUGGGAUAACUUCAGGAAGCUGGGGCUAAUAGAGGAUAGGAGCUCCUGCUGCAUGGUGGGGGGUGGAACGUUUCGGUGGUUGCGGAUGGACUGGCGGCUUAUCGGCUAGUUGGUGGGGUAGGGGCUUACCAAGGAAGUGACCGGUCGCCGGCCUGGGAGGGUGACCGGCGACAUGGGGACUGAGGUACGGCCCAGACUCCUAUGGGAGGCAGCAGGGGGGAAUAUUGUACAAUGGGCGGGAGCGUGAUGCGACGACGCCGCGGGCGGGAUGACGGCCUGUGGGUUGUAAACCGCAUUAGCUUGUGACGAAGCGGGAGUGACGGUAACGGGUAAAGAAGCACCGGCUAACUUCGUG